rnacentral:rRNA from 1 species
GACGGGUAUCCGGCCUGAGAGGGUGAACGGACACCUGGAACUGAGACACGGUCCAGACUCCUACGGGAGGCAGCAGUAGGGAAUAUUGCUCAAUGGGGGAAACCCUGAAGCAGCAACGCCGCGUGGAGGAUGAAGGUUUUCGGAUUGUAAACUCCUUUUGUUAGAGAAGAUAAUGACGGUAUCUAACGAAUAAGCACCGGCUAACUCCGUGCCAGCAGCCGCGGUAAUACGGAGGGUGCAAGCGUUACUCGGAAUCACUGGGCGUAAAGAGCGCGUAGGCGGAAUAGCAAGUCAGAUGUGAAAUCCUAUGGCUUAACCAUAGAACUGCAUUUGAAACUGUUAUUCUA